GUACUCAUGGCAACGGAGGGGGGGGGUCAAAUUUCAAAAUAUUUGGCGUAUGUACUUUAUGGACGACCCCUUACCCUAGAUGUCACUAAAUACUGAAAAAAUGGAGAACACUUAACAACCGUCGAGCGGAAGCCAACAAACCAAUUUCUGCUGUCAAUGUGGUAUUACCCCAAACCCUUCAAAUAUAUACAUUAAUUGCAUUUGUAAUCAAGUUCAUUUCUCUGCGGAAAUCUAAAAACAAGCUAUUCUUCCAUUCUGUAAAAGUUGUGAAAGUUUCUGCUGUCAAUGUGGUAUUACCCCAAACCCUUCAAAUAUAUACAUUAAUUGCAUUUGUAAUCAAGUUCAUUUCUCUGCGGAAAUCUAAAAACAAGCUAUUCUUCCAUUCUGUAAAAGUUGUGAAAGUUUAAACUCUGUUCAUUGAUUUGGUUUAUACGAAAUCGAUCCCUAGAUACAAUGUGCUGACGUAGAAACAAGGUAUUGGAAAAAUAUAUAUUUCAGAAAACUAAUCAAAAUAUUGAAUUUCAGUUAUAAAAUCAAUGCAAAGACAAAAUCUAAACUUAGAAUCCUAGAUUAAAUCGAUAAACCAAAGAUAAAUUUUGAAUCUCGUAUUAACUUGGUUCUGAUAAAAAGAUAGUGUAGUUUUGCUAAAGAAUAGUUUCAAUUAUAUUUUAAAUAUUAUUUUUUACAUGUUAUAAAUUUAAAUAUUUAUAAGCAAACAAUUUCUUUUGGUGUUUUUGUUUAAAGAACACUUUCGAAUUUGUUUUAAAAAAUUAUUUUU
rnacentral:misc_RNA from 1 species